rnacentral:rRNA from 1 species
GAUGAACGCUAGCGGCAGGCCUAACACAUGCAAGUCGAGGGGUAGAGUUAGCUUGCUAACUUGAGACCGGCGCACGGGUGCGUAACGCGUAUGCAAUCUACCUUAUACAGGGGAAUAGCCCAGAGAAAUUUGGAUUAAUGCCCCAUAGUAUUAUUGAAUGGCAUCAUUUGAUAAUUAAAGUUCCAACGGUAUAAGAUGAGCAUGCGUCCCAUUAGUUAGUUGGUAAGGUAACGGCUUACCAAGACUAUGAUGGGUAGGGGUCCUGAGAGGGAGAUCCCCCACACUGGUACUGAGACACGGACCAGACUCCUACGGGAGGCAGCAGUGAGGAAUAUUGGACAAUGGGCGCAAGCCUGAUCCAGCCAUGCCGCGUGCAGGAAGACGGUCCUAUGGAUUGUAAACUGCUUUUUAUACAGGAAGAAACACCUAUACGUGUAGAGGCUUGACGGUACUGUAAGAAUAAGGAUCGGCUAACUCCGUGCCAGCAGCCG